GACGAACGCUGGCGGCGUGCUUAGCACAUGCAAGUCGAACGGAAAGGCCCUGCUUUUGUGGGGUGCUCGAGUGGCGAACGGGUGAGUAACACGUGAGUAACCUGCCCUUGACUUUGGGAUAACUUCAGGAAACUGGGGCUAAUACCGGAUAGGAGCUCCUGCUGCAUGGUGGGGGUUGGAAAGUUUCGGCGGUUGGGGAUGGACUCGCGGCUUAUCAGCUUGUUGGUGGGGUAGUGGCUUACCAAGGCUUUGACGGGUAGCCGGCCUGAGAGGGUGACCGGCCACAAUGGGACUGAGAUACGGCCCAGACUCCUACGGGAGGCAGCAGUGGGGAGUAUUGCACAGUGGGCGGGAGCCUGAUGCAGCAACGCCGCGUGCGGGAUGACGGCCUUCGGGUUGUGAACCGCUUUCGCCUGUGACGAAGCGUGAGUGACGGUAAUGGGUAAAGAAGCACCGGCUAACUACGUG
rnacentral:rRNA from 1 species